rnacentral:rRNA from 1 species
GCAGCAGUGAGGAAUAUUGGGCAAUGGACGCAAGUCUGACCCAGCCAUGCCGCGUGAAGGAUGAAGGCGUUCUGCGUUGUAAACUUCUUUUAUUAGGGAAGAAACCUCCGUUUUCUAAUGGAGCCGACGGUACCUAACGAAUAAGCACCGGCUAACUCCGUGCCAGCAGCCGCGGUAAUACGGAGGGUGCAAGCGUUAUCCGGAUUCACUGGGUUUAAAGGGUGUGUAGGCGGAUAUUUAAGUCAGUGGUGAAAUCUCCAGGCUCAACCUGGAAACUGCCAUUGAUACUAUUUAUCUUGAAUUCUGUUGAGGUGGGCGGAAUACAUCAUGUAGCGGUGAAAUGCUUAGAUAUGAUGUAGAACACCGAUUGCGAAGGCAGCUCACUAAGCAGACAUUGACGCUGAGGCACGAAAGCGUGGGGAUCAAACAGGAUUAGAUAC